GCAAAUAUGUGAUUUUGCAUCAAGGUAGAGAUUGUUGGGACGUGAUGUCAAAUCACAAUCCCAUGGUAUUUUCAUUAUGAUGAGGGCUAUUUUAGUCAUAAUGAAAAGGUUCUUUCUCAUAAAGCUUUAUUGCUCAUUAAGUUGGGUGAAAAGAAGAGGGCGAGAAAGUGAAAGAUAUAGAGUGAAGGUUGGCAAGAAAAUUUGGAGGUUUUUACUACAAAACCCAAGUACAACCAUUUGGGUUUGAGUUGAGCCAUUUUAUCGGUAUUUCUUCGCGGCAUCGGUGAAUCGAAGAAGAGUCGAUUGUAGGUAGUUUU
rnacentral:lncRNA from 1 species